rnacentral:tRNA from 1 species
UCCCUUGUGGCUCAGACGGUAAAGCGUCUGCCUACAAUGCAGGAGACCCAGGUUCGAUCCCUGGGUUGGGAA